rnacentral:lncRNA from 1 species
GCACAUACAUGUUGUGCAAAUGCACUUGAAGAUGGUUGGGAUGCCAGAUUCAUCACAAUUUGUUGAUGCUGCACAUGUUGGACACCAAGGUAUGGCUGCUGCACAUGGAGAGUGAUGUUCUAAGUUCCUUUUUUUUGUACACCCUUGUGAAACAACCUUUUUUCCAAAAAUAUCAAUCUUACAUGAACCGGUGUCAGCAGAUUAACUGGGACUGGUCCGCAGCUGUUUGGAGUUCUUUUGCCAUAGUUCCAUCCAGCACCUACAAAAUGAAGAGAAAACAUUGUUGCUGAGGUAUAUUUGACCAUCCACAAGAAAGGUUCAUUUUUUCUAUGCCUCUGUUUCUUUUUUCUUAGUUCACACUAUACAUUCUUGAUCUUCUGUAGUCACCGAACUAGAUGUUAACCAUGCUACUUUUUUCUCAUAUUUUUCUGUACACUAGGCAGGGUCAUGUAUAUGCUUGUAAUACAACCCCACUGUGGCAAAUCUUGAAAAAAGUUCAGUCUUUCUCCUUAGUGUCUUGUGCAGGGGAGAGGGCAGCACCCUACUGAUUUCUGUUUUAAUUACCAAGCCAUAUUCUGUCCUAAAACAUGAACCAAUCAAUCCAUAUACAACUUUUGUGGGGAGGAGUCCAACAUCAUUUUUUCAUGGACAUACAGUUAAAAAUAAAAUUAUUUUCUGCUGUCAGAAUUGCUACAACACACAUGCCAGUCAAAUACUACUUGAUUCAGUUUUGCCUCUUCUCUAAUUUUCCUACAAAUUAUAACUCUAACCUAUGUCCCAUCAGGAAUCUUCCUUACUGCUGCAGGAUUGCUGUUACAAACAUGAGAAGGGAGAAAAGAAAAUCAGAUCUAGAACAAAUCA